GACGAACGCUGGCGGCGUGCUUAACACAUGCAAGUCGAACGGAAAGGCCCUGCUUUUGUGGGGUGCUCGAGUGGCGAACGGGUGAGUAACACGUGAGUAACCUGCCCUUGACUUUGGGAUAACUUCAGGAAACUGGGGCUAAUACCGGAUAGGAGCUCCUGCUGCAUGGUGGGGGUUGGAAAGUUUCGGCGGUUGGGGAUAGACUCGCGGCUUAUCAGCUUGUUGGUGGGGUAGUGGCUUACCAAGGCUUUGACGGGUAGCCGGCCUGGGAGGGUGACCGGCCACAUUGCGACUGAGAUACGGCGCAGACUCCUACGGGACGCAGCAGUGGGGAAUAUUGCACAAUGGGCGGAAGCCUGAUGCAGCAACGCCGCGUGCGGGAUGACGGCCUUCGGGUUGUAAACCGCUUUCGCCUGUGACGAAGCGUGAGUGACGGUAAUGGGUAAAGAAGCACCGGCUAACUACGUG
rnacentral:rRNA from 1 species